rnacentral:rRNA from 1 species
AACGAACGCUGGCGGCAUGCCUAACACAUGCAAGUCGAACGAGACCUUCGGGUAUAGUGGCGCACGGGUGCGUAACGCGUGGGAACCUGCCCUUAGGUUCGGAAUAACUCCCCGAAAGGGGUGCUAAUACCGGAUAAUGUCUUCGGACCAAAGAUUUAUCGCCUUUGGAUGGGCCCGCGUUGGAUUAGCUAGUUGGUAGGGUAAAAGCCUACCAAGGCGACGAUCCAUAGCUGGUCUGAGAGGAUGAUCAGCCACACUGGGACUGAGACACGGCCCAGACUCCUACGGAAGGCAGCAGUGGGGAAUAUUGGACAAUGGGCGAAAGCCUGAUCCAUCAAUACCGCGUGAGUGAUGAAGGCCUUAGGAUUGUAAAGCACUUUUACCCGGGAUGAUAAUGACAGUACCGGGAGAAUAAGCUCCGGCUAACUCCGUG